rnacentral:rRNA from 1 species
GAUGAACGCUAGCGACAGGCUUAACACAUGCAAGUCGAGGGGCAGCGAGAAAGUGCUUGCACUUUUGUCGGCGACCGGCGCACGGGUGAGUAACACGUAUGCAACCUGCCCUUGUCAGGGGGAUAAGCGGGGGAAACCCCGUCUAAUACCGCAUAUAUGGUUUGGAGGCAUCUUUAAAUCAGGAAAGAAUUAUCGGACAAGGAUGGGCAUGCGUGCUAUUAGAUAGUUGGCGGGGUAACGGCCCACCAAGUCGACGAUAGCUAGGGGAUCUGAGAGGACGGUCCCCCACACUGGUACUGAGACACGGACCAGAUUCCUACGGGAGGCAGCAGUAAGGAAUAUUGGGCAAUGGGCGCAAGCCUGACCCAGCAAUGCCGCGUGAAGGAAGACGGUUUUCGGAUUGUAAACUUCUUUUAAGAGGGACGAUAAUGACGGUACCUCUUGAAUAAGCCACGGCUAACUACGUG